rnacentral:rRNA from 1 species
UAAGGAAUAUUGGUCAAUGGACGCAAGUCUGAACCAGCCAUGCCGCGUGGAGGAUGAAGGCCCUCUGGGUUGUAAACUUCUUUUAUAUGGGACGAAAAAGGGUCUUUCUAGAUCAACUGACGGUACCAUGUGAAUAAGCACCGGCUAACUCCGUGCCAGCAGCCGCGGUAAUACGGAGGGUGCAAGCGUUAUCCGGAUUCACUGGGUUUAAAGGGUGCGUAGGCGGAUUUGUAAGUCCGUGGCGAAAUCUCUAAGCUUAACUUGGAAAUUGCCGUGGAUACUAUAAGUCUUGAAUAUUGUGGAGGUUAGCGGAAUAUGUCAUGUAGCGGUGAAAUGCAUAGAUAUGACAUAGAACACCAAUUGCGAAGGCAGCUGGCUACACAUAUAUUGACACUGAGGCACGAAAGCGUGGGGAUCAAACA